GUUAUCGACAGUCCAGUCCUUUGUAAGUAUUUUGUUCUCUCUUUAUAAUUUUCUUAUUGAUGGCAAUCAUGGUUACAUUACAACACAUGCAAAUCAUAUAUUAAAGUUUAGUAGAUGAUAUAUUACUAAACAUAUGAUUUAUCACCUAGGUUAGUAGAUGAUAUAUUAACUUAUAAGUUUGUUCUGCCGAUUGUUUUUGUUUAAAAAGAGCUUAGAGAUUUGAACCAUUCCUCAACAUCAGCCAAGCAAGGGAAUUCCAUCCACCAUUUUGAAUCACACCUCUAUCCUUAGAGAUUUGAACCAUCCCAAUAUUGUCAGGUUGUUGCAAAUUCUAGCUACUGAGGAAUAUAUGUUUGGUGUGUGUAAAUCUUGAAAAAUAGUACAUCACUAAUCCCGUGCUUAGCAUUCACACUUUCGAAAGAUCUGUUCUACAUCAAGCUCUUUUUGGAAUUUGUGCACCCAAAACUUCUAUUCAUAAGGCUCAUCUGAGCUAUACAGCACCUGAACUUUUGAUGGGCUCAACCAAUUACUCAACUGCAGCUGAUAUCUGGUAUAUGGGCUGCAUAUUUUCUCACAUCAUUAAGCGCCAACCGCUGUUCAAUGAUAUAGACAAGCAUAGGGUAUUGGCUGAGAUAUUCUGAUCUAUACUCAUUUUGCUAUAAAACAUGAGAUGGUCACUCUUUUAGAGUCUUGAGUAAAGCAACAUGUCAAC